AGAGCGAACGCUGGCGGCAGGCCUAAUACAUGCAAGUCGAACGGAUCCUUCGGGAUUAGUGGCGGACGGGUGAGUAACGCGUGGGAACAUACCCUCCGGUUCGGAAUAGCUCAGGGAAACUUGGAUUAAUACCGGAUACGGCCGAGAGGCGAAAGAUUUAUCGCCGGAGGAUUGGCCCGCGUUCGAUUAGCUAGUUGGUGAGGUAACGGCUCACCAAGGCGAUGAUCGAUAGCUGGUCUGAGAGGAUGAUCAGCCACAUUGGGACUGAGACACGGCCCAGACUCCUACGGGAGGCAGCAGUGGGGAAUAUUGCGCAAUGGGCGGAAGCCUGACGCAGCGACGCCGCGUGCGGGAUGAAGGCCUUCGGGUUGUAAACCGCUUUCACCAGGGGCGAAGCGAGAGUGACGGUACCUGGGGAAGAAGCGCCGGCUAACUACGUGCCAGCAGCCGC
rnacentral:rRNA from 1 species